rnacentral:siRNA from 1 species
AGGGAGUUUCGCGGAACACCACCG